rnacentral:rRNA from 1 species
CUACCCCGCUUGAACUAAGCAUAUCAAUAAGCGGAGGAAAAGAAACCAACAGGGAUUGCCCCAGUAACGGCGAGUGAAGCGGCAAGAGCUCAAAUUUGAAAUCUGGCCUCCUCCGGGGGUCCGAGUUGUAAUUUGUAGAGGAUGCUUCGGGUGCGGCCGCCGUCUAAGUUCCUUGGAACAGGACGUCAGAGAGGGUGAGAAUCCCGUCUUGGGCGGCCGGCGCGCGCCCGUGUGAAGCUCCUUCGACGAGUCGAGUUGUUUGGGAAUGCAGCUCUAAGCGGGUGGUAAAUUUCAUCUAAAGCUAAAUACUGGCCGGAGACCGAUAGCGCACAAGUAGAGUGAUCGAAAGGUUAAAAGCACCUUGAAAAGGGAGUUAAACAGCACGUGAAAUUGUUGAAAGGGAAGCGCUUGCGGCCAGACUCGGGGGGCGGGGUUCAGCGGGCGCUCGUCGCCCGUGCACUCCCCGCGUUCCCGGGCCAGCAUCAGUUUCGACGGCCGGUCAAAGGCCCCCGGAAUGUGUCGUCUCUAGGGACGUCUUAUAGCCGGGGGUGCAAUGCGGCCCGUCGGGACUGAGGAACGCGCUCCGGCUCGGAUGCUGGCGUAAUGGUCGUAAGCGGCCCGUCUUGAAACACGGACCAAGGAGUCUAACAUCCACGCGAGUGUUCGGGUGUCAAACCCGUGCGCGCAGUGAAAGCGAACGGAGGUGGGAGCCUCAGGGCGCACCAUCGACCGAUCCUGAAGUCUUCGGAUGGAUUUGAGUAGGAGCGUGGCCGUUGGGACCCGAAAGAUGGUGAACUAUGCCUGAAUAGGGUGAAGCCAGAGGAAACUCUGGUGGAGGCUCGCAGCGGUUCUGACGUGCAAAUCGAUCGUCAAAUUUGGGCAUAGGGGCGAAAGACUAAUCGAACCAUCUAGUAGCUGGUUCCUGCGGUUUCCCCCCCCCCAAAAAAAAAAAACA